AGUAUGUUUUUUCCCAAAAAAUAUUUUAGUAUGUUCUUUUUUCACAUAAAAUUUCAGUAACACAAACAUUUUCCUGAAGGGAAAUGUAACUGAACUUCCUUCUUAAUAAUUUGGAAAACUCUUUGUUUAUACAUUGCCACCAGAAUACUGGUUAGAAGUACCAUUCAUCAAUUUCUUUCAAAGAUAAUAAUUACCAGUAACCACCUGUGUAUCCAGUCCAUUCAUUCAUUAAUAAGUUGUAAAUCUGACACUGUGGAUAAUUGAGGUUUCAGUGACAGGGAUACUCUGUGGGGACCAGGCAACUUGAAGAGCCUCUUAUUGUGAUUGGAAUACAUGUUAUGAAACAGAUUUUGGUUUCUAAGAACCCUGAUGUUAUUAGUGGUUACUACAGCAUGUGUAGUGUGUUUGAGUGGAACAUAUGACAUUAUGAAGCAGAUUUGGGUUUCCAAGCACUGGUUUGUAAUAAGUGCUGGAUAUUGUACUUAGAAUGCAGAGUUGAAAUCAGCUUGGAAAAAUUAGAAAAUUCACGGAGAAGUUUAUUGUUUUAUGGGCCUAAACUGAUAUUUUAGAAUUAAAACGACAGGUGUCGAAAAUUAAAAGUUUCUUAUGGUGCAAAAUCAAGAUAGUUGGGGGAAAAACUUAUCUUCUGAAUAAGGAAUCAACCAGUUCAGGCUAGCUGACUUUGCUUUGAAAUUCCUUUUUAAUUUGAUUUAGAAUCCUUGUCAUCUUAUUCAGCAUUCAGAUCAUGUCUUCAGUUACUGUGUCCAAUAGCAAGGGUUAUUGGAGGGGUUGUGUGAAAGAACUCCACCUCAGAUAAGGGAAAACUGAGCCCUUUCUUCCCUGUAGUAUUUGAUCAGUGUUUGCAUGGGCACCUGUGAAUCAACACUGAGGCAGGGGCAUGGGGAUAGGGUUGUCUUCUUCUUAAAUACUCUAGUUCCUGGCUUGUUGGGGUAGUGUCUUUCCCAUGGGGCAAGGAUGGCAGGAGGAAAAACACAGUGGUUGUCUCCUGAAGAAAAGGAGAAUAAUACGCUUGGAUAAUUUUUCAUCCUGUGAAUGGGGCAUUCUUUGGCAUGUUUCUGUCUCUUGUUACCUAUGCAUGAACAGCUUUAUAGGGCUAUCCAAGCAGAAAGGCCAUUAUGUCUACUGCAGCAGUGAGGGGAACUUUCAAUCCCCAUUGCUGUGCAGUGUGCAUGUCUGACCAAGAAGAAUAGCAGCUGAGGAGAGGCAUUGGAUGCACAAUUAAAUUAGUGACUGGAAAGUUAGGAAGGCACAUAACAAGUAGCACUUUAGGGGGCAAUAUGUCACACUAGUAUGGGAAACUGCAGACCCAUUUUUCACUUCCCUGAGAAUAUGUCCCAAGUAUGGCUUGUACUAUUUCAUUCACUUCAUGAAUCAGAUUAAUUGUAAACAGCUAUGUUUCAAUGUAAGAACCAUGUGUUAUGCUUUUUCCACCUGAUAAAUAUAUUUUUCAUACAGAAAUUGUUUGUAGAACUAGGAAGUCUAAUUCAAAUUACUGGUAGGAUUUUGGUUAGGGUGGGGAUGAGGAAGAAGGAGGGGGAAGCAAGGUAGAAAAUGAAAACAGUUGGUCAGAUCUCAAAAGAAAGCAAAGCACAGCAAAAUAACCAUUUAAAACCUCAUCCAUUAUCAAAAUGACAAAGAUGAUGAAAAUAAUAUGGGAGGUUUCACCCAUUGAAAACUGGGGUAGUGAUGGAGGUGACACACCCAAGGUUAACUGACUUUACAGAUUACAGUGUAGUUGUCUGCUCACUCGGUUUACAGCAAAUUAGGAAUCAAGUUUAUUUGGAUAUGGUUCCUUUAAUUGCAGAAAAAUAUUUUUCUUAACAGAAUUGACAGCUGGUUGAAAAAGCCCAUCAAAUAAGUAAUUUGAUGCUUGUCAGUUUUGUUGAGACCGUUGGAUCAGCAUUGAGUGAAAUUGAGCCUCUUCGUGGCAGGCUUGAUCUAAGUGGCAGAGGUAGUGUUGUCCAACAUGUGGCAGUAGAGGCUCAAAAGUAUCUCAAGGACAUGAACACAACUGGAGAGAGAAAGGAAGAGGGAUUGAGUGGCUAUGGCCCUAUAAACGUGACCUGACAGUUAAUUUUGCCAAAGGGGUAGACCGUUGUUGGCUGCUUCACUAAAGAUUGAGGUGAUUCUUCCUCACAGCACAUGGCCUUUCUCUCUACCCCUGACCCCUGUUGAAAUCUACUCCACCGAAUUGUUUAUUCAAGACUAAUGUGAACAUAUAACACGUAAAAGGCUCAUUCAGUGCUUUACAAACUUAAUAGUUUUUAUUUUUCCACACUCUGAAUAUCACCAACACCGUCUUAGUCUUGAAGGUAUUUGGGUUUAUUGUACAGUGAAAGCAUCCCCUCCUCCCAAAUAAUUGUUUAAGAAAUCGAACAAUCACUCCAAUUUGGAUUAUUUUGUUAAAACAACAGUUAGUUUUUCACAGGUCAACACCUUCAUUUAAUUGAAACUUGUGUCUGUGUAUUAACUAAACCAUGACAGGAUCUAGUAGCAGAGUGGAGUGUGUAAGGCACGUUUUCGAUACCGAGGAAUUAUCCAUGCGAAAAUGCCCCGUGGUCCUUAUCCAUGGUUGUUUUCCCCCCACCUUGCGGUUUGGGCAUGUUAAACUAACAUAAGUACAGUUGUUGACUCAGUGAAUCAUAGUGACUGCUUGUCAAUCACGGUGUGCCCUAGAUCCUACCCCUUAAUCGUGUUGAUCCCCGAGCUUAAUAACUGCGCUUGGCUUGUACGUAACUAGAGAUAUGCUGAAGUGCUCACACGUGGGGCAAAGAAAUGAUUAAACAUGGUGCUGAGAGCAUAGAACCUCCUCGCAUCAGGAACUACUCAGGAGAGAUGGGGUUUUCAGGUCGCAAGUUGACUUUAAUGUUCAGUUUUGAAUCCUUUCUCAUUCUGGAAGUUUACCAACUCUCCAAUCUUCCAGUAAAUCAAAGUUCAGUGUGAUUUUUGAUCUCAUAAUUGGCAGUCACACUCAAUAAACUACAAGCUUGCAGCUGGAAAGUUGGAACACAACACGUUUGGCGGCACAUCAAGUUGAAGUUAAAUGGCAACAUGAUAACAGAUAUAUUAAUUUUGCUUGGUUAACGUGUGACAUACUUUCUAAAUGGACUCUGAAAGUGUAAUGAAUUUAAUUAUGAAUCCUUUUUAUUCAAAACUGAGCUCUUGAAUCACCUUGUUAAACUGUUUCAGUUUUCUAUAUCUCAGAAACAAAACAAGACUUCCACUUUUAUGUUAACUUUCUUUUUGGUCCUAAAUGUUAGUGUUGCAAGCACAUUAGUCACUGUUUCGAUUAUUUUGCCUGUGGUCGGUGGUUUUCUUUUGUUUAUGCCCCCUGACACACCAUGCAGAAUGACUUGUAAAACAAACUUUAAUCAACAUCGAAAAAUGCUUUGUGUAGUAUAGUGGCAAAGACCUUAAAGGUUUACGUACCAUUUUACAACAAGAAGUCAAGAGCUUUAUACAAAGACUUGAACUUAAGACCCCCGGUUUAUACACUGUGACAAUACAGAAGAAAAGACUCCAUUGACAGGUUGUGCAUUGGUGUAGAGAGAUUUUGGGCUGUGAUAGCUCAAGAAAGAUCUUGCCAUAAGAUGGAGGCGGUUCAUGAUUGAAGUUGUAAAGUUUUCUUCAACGACUAUGCGCUCUUGCUCUCUUACUUGCACGCACACAUGCACAUGGAUAACAGAAUCUGUAUUAGUGCUCAUUCAUACAGAUAGUUAGAAGAUGAGGUUUCAAGCCCGAUCCACCUGCUGGGUCAUCUGAAUAAUACAACACAAUGCUUCCUACUCGGCACUGGGAGAGACUUCCUGAAGGGGAAUAGGGAAAGGGGAGGGGGCAAGCUUAUAUCACAUUUUAUGCAGGAUUAUCCUUUCAAAUGAAAAAAAAAUGAGAUCCAUGAAUGCCAUAUAUGGGUGGGUGUAAACUGUUUUGAAACGGGAUUAAAAAGUUUUGAAGUACAGCCAAAUUUAAACGCCAGUAACAUUCACUGAUCUGAAAGAAAUUACAUUUCACACACCGGUUGUAUUACAAGCAAUACUUGCUCAACAUACAACUUGAAUUGGUUCAUUUGUUUGGUUUUUGCAAGACUUCUGCAUCUGUCAUGAUGUUCUCUAUAGCUCACACUAGUUUUUCACCUGUUUUCUGUUGCCAAGACAAAAAUCACCAGUUUUACGCACACACACA
rnacentral:lncRNA from 1 species